CCUAAGUUUUGGUAGCAUUUCUUCCCAGCAAGAACAAGACCUACCUGAAGGCAAAAUGCAGAGACCCAGGAAUAGGGAAUUCAUAACCUGCAUGGCAAGCUUUGUACGGAACGAACUGAAUUUAAGUGUCCAAAGCAGCCUUCAGAGCUUCAUUCUCAUCCAGCUGGAUCAGAAGCCUAUAAGGAAACAAAAGGAAAACUUUCAUGUGAGCUGUGGAGCUCCAAAGCAAGGUGGAAACAACUGAAUGCACACAUUCCUCCUAUCAUGGACAGAAAUUACAAGAACUCAAAGCAAGCAUGGAUGUAAGAGCAAAUUCAAAAUAUGGGACAUGAAUUAAAUCCAGUUCCUACAGCUUCUCUAUCCCAAAAGCCGUAUUUCUAUGUUUUAGCAAGCAAAAAGAGAACAACAAAAAUGCCUCACUUCUUUCUCCAGCUCUUUGACUUUGUUAUUCAGUUGCUUCACUUUGGCUUUUUCACUCUCUACCUCGGCAGUCAUCUCACGAUUCUUUUUGGCCAAUUCAACCAUUUUAGUAGCUGCAACAUCUCCAGCUAAAC